rnacentral:rRNA from 1 species
UACGGAAGGCAGCAGUGGGGAAUAUUGCACAAUGGGCGAAAGCCUGAUGCAGCUAUGCCGCGUGUAUGAAGAAGGCCUUAGGGUUGUAAAGUACUUUCAUCGGGGAGGAAAAAACAAAAACUAAUAAUUUUAUUUCUUGACGUUACCCGAAAAAGAAGCACCGGCUAACUCCGUGCCAGCAGCCGCGGUAAUACGGAGGGUGCUAGCGUUAAUCAGAAUUACUGGGCGUAAAGAGCACGUAGGUGGUUUUUUUAAAGUUCAGAUGUGAAAUCCCUGGGCUUAACCUAGGAACUGCAUUUUGAAACUGAAAUACUAGAGUAUCGUAGAGGGAGGUAGAAUUCUAGGUGUAGCGGUGAAAUGCGUAGAUAUCUGGAGGAAUACCGGUGGCGAAGGCGGCCCCUGGACAAAGACUGACGCUCAUGUGCGAAAGCGUGGGGAGCAAACAGGGAUUUAGAUACC